AAGAUUUGUGCCUUCUUGAAAGAAGGAGAGACUGGCAAAGAGGUCAAAAGGAGAGCUUUAUCUCUGACCUGCAGCAGUGAGUGCUUGGGAAGUAUGUGAAUUCAAAGCAUCGAGUCUGAUUUGGAUAAUGAUUAUCCUGGUAGCAACUGAGACUGCUGUUUGCCCUGAACACGCAUGGAAGGAACUUGCUCCUGGUGCACAGGUUGCUGACAAAUACAGACCACGUGGCAGGUUCUGAGGCUUCUCACAGCUCAGGACUGUCUGAGGAGCAAUCCUACAGUGCUGCCUGUUGGAGCA